rnacentral:tRNA from 1 species
GCAUUGAUGAUUCAGUGGUAGAAUUCUCACUUUCCAUGCAGGAGACCCAGGUUCAAUUCCCGGCCAAUGCA